UAAUAAGUGUUUAUGGCACUUCUUAAAUCCAUAUCCACCUUGUGUGCAAUGUCAGCCGUUUUCUUUAUGAAAGCGGCCAAACAUCAACCUUAUCUUUUAACUCUUUGUCUGAAAAAUAUUAUGAAUAAACAAUUCAAAAUA
rnacentral:misc_RNA from 1 species